rnacentral:rRNA from 1 species
UAGGUGAACCUGCGGUGGGAUCAUUAAAUAACAUUAAUGUUGGGGUUCUUUUCUUGUGAAUUGGACUCUGCUUGUGUGAAUCAUGUGAGUUGCAUGGAGAGGGUGCUUUACGUGCCUGAUCCGGCAAUGUGAGUCUAGCUUUGGUGCGUGUGAUGUGAUGGCACAUUAUGUGUUAUUACUUGCUGCACCAGCUAUUCUCUCUAAUUUAAACACUAUCAAAAUACCAAUUACAAAAUUAAAACGAGGCGUAACACCCUCAUCAAUAUUUUACAACUAUCCGUGGUGGAUCACUUGGCUCUUGCAUCGAUGAAGAACGUAGCGAAUUGCGAAAAUUACUGCGAAUUGCUUUAGCGUGAAUCAUUGAGUCUUUGAACGCACAUUGCACUCUGUACUUUUGUGCAGAGUAUGCCUGUUUGAGCAUCAGAUUGACACCACUCUUCUAUAAUUUAUUUUAAAUGAAUUGCGGAAGGGGACCAUGAGCGCUUUCCAAUUCUCUAAGGGUUGGUCGCUUCAAAUAUGUGAGGACGUAACUUUAUUGUGGCCGACUCGAUUCGGAGCACUGUAGGCGAGAGGCAGCUUGCGCAUUCAAUGUUGCAUUCUGUUGUCCAGACCGUGAAGCGUGGUUGGCCAGAGACUAGUAACAGAUUAUUUAUAGCUUGUGAACGUUUUGAUUAUCCAUCGGCAUGCAAUUAACUUUGUCAUGCCAUCACACACAUGGUCGCUACGAGACAACUGAAUACACGCAACCUGACAUGUAAUGGCUGAAUCGUUUGAGCUUGCAAUUGCGACAAAUCACUUUACUGCGCCCUAUUGCCUCCAAAUACGUUUGCAAUCUAAUUAAAUCAUCAAAAUGAUCUCAAAUCAGGUAGGACUACCCGCUGAACUUAAGCAUAUC